rnacentral:rRNA from 1 species
AAUAAUGUUGUGACAAGUGUUCGAACAAGUGAUGUCGACACCGAUGACUUCCCGAUUAAGAUAGGACUGCAUCAGGGGUCAGCUUUGAGCCCUUAUCUUUUUGCAUUGGUGAUGGAUGAGGUCACAAGGGGUAUACAAGGAGAUAUCCCAUGGUGUAUGCUCUUUGCGGAUGAUGUGGUGCUAGUUGAUGAUAGUUGGACGGGGGUAAAUAGGAAGUUAGAGUUAUGGAGACAAACCUUGGAAUCGAAAGGGUUUAGGCUUAGUAGAACUAAAACCGAGUACAUGAUGUGCGGUUUCAGUACUACUAGCUGUGAGGAGGAGGAGGUUAGCCUUGAUGGCCAGGUGGUACCUCGGAAGGACACCUUUCGGUAUUUGGGGUCAAUGUUGCAGGAGGAUGGGGGUAUUGAUGAAGAUGUGAACCAUCGAAUCAAAGCCGGAUGGAUGAAGUGGCGCCAAGCUUCUGGCAUUCUCUGUGACAAGAGAGUGCCACAAAAGCUAAAAGGCAAGUUCUACAGGACGGCGGUUCGACCCGCAAUGUUGUAUGGCGCGGAGUGUUGUCCGACUAAAAGGCGACAUGUUCAACAGUUAGGUGUGGCGGAGAUGCGUAUGUUGAGAUGGAUGUGUGGCCACACGAGGAAGGAUCGAGUCCAGAAUGAUGAUAUACGAGAUAGAGUUGGGGUAGCACCAAUUGAGGAGAAGCUUGUCCAACAUCGUUUGAAAUGGUUUGGGCAUAUUCAGCGCAGGCCUCCAGAAGCUCCAGUGCAUAGUGGACGGCUAAAGCGUGCGGAGAAUGUCAAGAGAGGGCGGGGUCGACCGAUUUUGACAUGGGAGGAGUCCGUUAAGAGAGACCUGAAGGAUUGGAGUACCGACAAAGAGCUAGCUAUGGACAGGGGU